AGAUUGAACGCUGGCGGCAUGCCUAACACAUGCAAGUCGAACGGGAGUAGCAAUACUCUAGUGGCGGACGGGUGAGGAAUACGUAGGAAUUUGCCCUUAAGUGGGGGAUAACCCGGGGAAACCCGGAUUAAUACCGCAUGACCUCGAAAGAGCAAAGUGGGGGAUCGCAAGACCUCACGCUUUUGGAGAAGCCUACGUCGGAUUAGCUAGUUGGUGAGGUAAUGGCUCACCAAGGCGACGAUCCGUAACUGGUCUGAGAGGAUGAUCAGUCACACCGGAACUGAGACACGGUCCGGACUCCUACGGGAGGCAGCAGUGGGGGAAUAUUGGACAAUGGGCGCAAGCCUGAUCCAGCAAUGCCGCGUGUGUGAAGAAGGCCUCGGGUUGUAAGCACUUUAAGUUGGAAGAAAAACGUACGACUCGUAACACACGUGAGUCUUGACGGUACCGACAGAAUAAGCACCGGCUAACUCUGUGUCCAGCAGCCGC
rnacentral:rRNA from 1 species